CCCACAACCCGGCCCAACGAUACAUAAUACUCCCUCAUAAUAACAAAAGAAUGGAGGAAGGGUUAUAUUGCAAAAAUGGACCCCAGCCGCCCUACUCCACCACAAGCCUGUCUCCGUCAUCACCACCUACCACUCCUUUCUCGGUCCCGUCCCAUUGCUACUGGCUAGUGGUGUGAAGAGAGAAGGCGAAGCCAUUCAUGCUCCGCCCUUCUCUCUACGAAAUCAGGCUAAACAACCCCUAAAGGUACAAUCCAUGUAUUUCCCUUUAUAUUUUUCAUUUUUUACAAUUGCUAGACAUCGUUUUAGCCGUUGAUUGAAAUUUUUGGCAAAUCUGAACCCUUCACUAUGAAUCUGAGGCUUAAAUGCUUGAAAUAUGGGAAUUCCCACAUCGAAAAUAUAGUGUUUUGUUGAUGUUUUGGGAUUCUAUAAAUAGAACCCUAUCCUUACAAGUUAGAAAGGGGAGAAAAAUUGAGAGAAAUCAAAAAUAUUGGCUGAUACUUGAUUUUUUGAGUUAAAGCUUUAUUUAGUAAAAAAAUUAUUAGUCUUGAGAUCCUAAAUCUUUUGUUUUCCUAGUAUAAAAAUCUUUACUUUUAUUUUAUUUGUGUGGGUGUUGUUUUGGCUGAGUUUGGAGAGUGGAAAAGGAGCUCUCAAGUUCAUUCUUGGCAGAGGUUGUGCACAAAAAAGGCCGGUCGGGUCAAAUGCAUAAAACCACCCCUUGGGCCUAAGGCCCAAGUGGGAAUACUACUUCAAAAUGGAGUUCGGGAGGACAAAGAAGAUAGCGAGGCGCGCAGAAGGACCAGCCAUGGGUGAAAAUGGCCAACUAGGGGCUUGGUACGCCCCUAGUCUAACUUAGCCCCUUUUAAUUAAUCAGUGGUAUUCAUUGUUGUAUUUGUAUUUGAAACUUGUAUUCAAAACUCAUACAUAGUGGAAAUCUAUGAUUGGAACUAGACGUCUUAGGACAACGGUUCUUA